rnacentral:rRNA from 1 species
UGAAGAGUUUGAUCAUGGCUCAGAUUGAACGCUGGCGGCAGGCCUAACACAUGCAAGUCGAACGGUAACAGGAAGCAGCUUGCUGCUUUGCUGACGAGUGGCGGACGGGUGAGUAAUGUCUGGGAAACUGCCUGAUGGAGGGGGAUAACUACUGGAAACGGUGGCUAAUACCGCAUAACGUCGCAAGACCAAAGAGGGGGACCUUCGGGCCUCUUGCCAUCAGAUGUGCCCAGAUGGGAUUAGCUUGUUGGUGAGGUAACGGCUCACCAAGGCGACGAUCCCUAGCUGGUCUGAGAGGAUGACCAGCCACACUGGAACUGAGACACGGUCCAGACUCCUACGGGAGGCAGCAGUGGGGAAUAUUGCACAAUGGGCGCAAGCCUGAUGCAGCCAUGCCGCGUGUAUGAAGAAGGCCUUCGGGUUGUAAAGUACUUUCAGCGGGGAGGAAGGUGUUGUGGUUAAUAACCGCAGCAAUUGACGUUACCCGCAGAAGAAGCACCGGCUAACUCCGUGCCAGCAGCCGCGGUAAUACGGAGGGUGCAAGCGUUAAUCGGAAUUACUGGGCGUAAAGCGCACGCAGGCGGUCUGUCAAGUCGGAUGUGAAAUCCCCGGGCUCAACCU